GACGUAGGGCGCAAGCGUUGUCCGGAUUUACUGGGCGUAAAGAGCUCGUAGGUGGUUUGUCGCGUUGUCCGUGAAAACUCACAGCUCAACUGUGGGCGUGCGGGCGAUACGGGCAGACUAGAGGUAGGUAGGGGGAGAAUGGAAUUCCCGGUGUAGCGGUGAAAUGCGCAGAUAUCGGGAGGAACACCGGUGGCGAAGGCG
rnacentral:rRNA from 1 species